UACGUAGGGUGCAAGCGUUAAUCGGAAUUACUGGGCGUAAAGCGUGCGCAGGCGGCUUUGCAAGUCAGAUGUGAAAUCCCCGGGCUUAACCUGGGAACUGCAUUUGUGACUGCAUGGCUAGAGUGCGGCAGAGGGGGAUGGAAUUCCGCGUGUAGCAGUGAAAUGCGUAGAUAUGCGGAGGAACACCGAUGGCGAAGGCAGGUCUCUGGGCAUUAACUGACGCUGAGGAGCGAAAGCAUGGGGAGCGAACAGG
rnacentral:rRNA from 1 species